rnacentral:lncRNA from 1 species
CAAGCUGGCUUUGUUCAUGGAGAACCGGGAUACUUGGCUUUGGCCAGCAUUUACAGCACCACUGGCUUGAAUUCAGUCAGUCCCCUAACUUCUAAAACCUUGAAAUAACCAUGUGAAAUUAUAGUGUAGUUAGUAAAAACUGCUGGGAGAGGUAAUGCAACCAGAAUCACUGAGCAGGCUCAUCUGUCCUUCUUUUCUUACCACUCCUCUUAUAGUUUUAAAAAUUUUUAUGACAAACAGGGGAUGAUGCUCUUUUGGCUACUGAGGGAUCCCACAUAUCGAAGCUGCAAUUCAAUUUUCUGUGAAGCUUUUCAGAAAUCUUCAACACUGCAGAAAAAUUUAGCAUGGAUUAACUUCCAGCUGAGAAAAUAAUAGGUGGAAGUUUUGCUCCUUUCCAUACAGGAGAACAAAACCAUGGAUAUUUUAAAUAAGAUUGUAGUGAUUUCUUCUCUAUGUGUAAAUCAUUGUUGAUAAAUUGGUGUAGAGGAGGCAGCUACUGAUUUAGCAGUUCAGGCCUUUACCUACAACUCCAUAUGUGUAAUUUUGUUUGUGUGAGCCUGACUCCUUCAAACUUGCACUUUUUUUCUUUUUUUUUCCCUGCAGACACUGAUUCGAAGAGCAGAGAAAUAACCACAGUCAUUCAAUUUUCAUUUGAGAUCUCUUUUCUAGGCUACCACAAUAUUUGCAGCAUUCUAAUGUUAGAAAGAAAAUACAAGGUCUUGGGGUUAAAUUCCAUGGCAUGUUUCAACUUCUUUAAGUUCCUGUGGAUCAAAAGCCCUAUGUAACUGCUCUGAUUUAGACUGGAAAUGUGCAAAAACAGCUAUUGCCUUCCCGGGAGUCCAAAGCAAUGCCUGUAACAGUCUCAGUUUUAGUUUUGUUCUGUUUUUUUCUUUCCAUCUGGCUGAAGGUGCUUAAAAUGACAAUUGUGUACCUAGACCUACAGCCUGAGCCCAGCAGUCCCUUGCACAGAACCAUAUGGGGGAACCUCAUGGUGACCUGCAGGUCUGUUUUCAAGAGAAGUGGUGUUGCCUGCCUGAGGGCUCUGCAGGGCAAAGUACCCAUCACUGGCAGCUGGGGCUCCUCUGGGGCUCAGGUGGGAGCCAGGCAGCUCAACAGCUUGCAGAUGAGCAGGAGCCUGCGCUCAGCUUCUUUGCUCCUCGAUGAGGAGACACAAGAGCAUGUUUCUCUUUGCAGGGGAAUACAUGCUGGAUGUAUGCUGCUGAGAGCUCCAUCAGAUUGAUUUAACACUGCUAUAGAUGUUAUGUAGAUGACUGUGAAUAGCUGGGAAAGAAUGUUUUAAUUGCUCGUGAGUUGCCAACCUGUUUGGGAGUUUCAGAACAACUGAUAAUAACCGGUGACUGCUGGUGACUGUUAUGGGAUCCUUGGUAUCUGGCCAGGGGGGCCAAGAGAUUAAGAGGAAGAGAAAAGAAGCUGAAGGACGGUUGGGAGACAAGACCUGCGGAGAGUGUACAGAGAGUGUUCCAUAAACUUGGGAUAGUGCCAAGUAAGUACAAAGGGUGAGAGGAAGACUACGAGCCUUCAGCAUGAAAGACCCCUAGAGACCCCCAGAGGAGACUGAUGCGCAUGCUCCAGUAGGAGGAACUGGACCCCGGAAGCUAAUUAUAAUAAUCUACUUUUUUAGAAGUAGUAAUGAAUAUGUAUUAGUCUAGGUGCAUAAAAAUCAGCAGCUUGAUGUAACUGGUGUGCGUCCUGGUGGAGCGGAGACUCCCGGUGCACCCAGCGCUGUUUGCUUACCUCUAUUCCUUUAUAUUCUUUUAAUAAAUCCUAUUUUUUUAUUUAAUCCUAAUUUGAA